GCGUCCGUAGCUCAGCUGGAUAGAGCACUGGCCUCCGACGCCAGGUGCCGGGGGUUCGAAUCCCUUCGGGCGCACCA
rnacentral:tRNA from 1 species